rnacentral:lncRNA from 1 species
GGACCCAGAACCCAGCUCAAGCUCAAGAAGGGUUGGGUCCAAUCAGGUGGUUGUUGUUGGUGGUGGUGGUGCUGAUGUGUCAGUGCAGAGAGUGAAGAAAGAAGAGAUAGAAACCAAGAUAUCUGCAUGGCAAAACGCAAAGAUUGCUAAGAUCAAUAAUAGGUUCAAAAGAGAGGAUGCCAUAAUUAAUGGCUGGGAAAGUGAGCAAGUGCAAAAGUCUUCUUCUUGGAUGAAGAAAGUUGAGGUAUGUAUAGAAAGAAAUUAAUUAUUAGUCUAGUAUAUUAAUUAUUUAUUAAUUUGCCUGUUAAUUUAAUUUUUGAAUUGAUGAUCCAAAGCUAAUAUGUUUCCCUUCUCAUAUAGAUUUUUUCAUGAUUAUACUAAGGACUUGUUAAUUAAUUACUCAAUUGAGAAACAGAUAACAAUCAUAAUUUCUUUGUUGAAUUUUUUGAACCAUAUUGAUUAGAGAGAGUCUUGAUGAUGUAGGUGAAGUUACUUUGAUACUUUACCUAUAUGACAAGAGUUAAUAUAGACCACUAGUUUAUGAUCAAACAAUGGAAUUUCUUGGAUUUGUAUUUUAUCUAUUGCUAGUUAGUGAGCUAAUUUUAGCUCAAGUUUCAAUUUCAGUAAUUAUUGCUUCCACAAAAGAUAAUAACUAACUUUCAACCAGAAAAGUAUUUUCAUGCUUCAAGCACUACUCAAGACAGAAAAGUACAUGUGAGAAUUAUACCUUUACAAUUGAUAAGGCAUUUUCAUAACGGCUUAUAUCUAAAGCAUGUAUAUGUCUUUUACUGUUUCUUCUUCUUCUCCUUCUUUUCUUUUUUUUUUCUUGUAUCAACUAGAAAAUUAAUGUUGUCUCUGUUUUUAACACUNNNNNNNNNNNNNNNNNNNNNNNNNNNNNNNNNNNNNNNNNNNNNNNNNNNNNNNNNNNNNNNNNNNNNNNNNNNNNNNNNNNNNNNNNNNNNNNNNNNNNNNNNNNNNNNNNNNNNNNNNNNNNNNNNNNNNNNNNNNNNNNNNNNNNNNNNNNNNNNNNNNNNNNNNNNNNNNNNNNNNNNNNNNNNNNNNNNNNNNNNNNNNNNNNNNNNNNNNNNNNNNNNNNNNNNNNNNNNNNNNNNNNNNNNNNNNNNNNNNNNNNNNNNNNNNNNCAUAUAGAACAUAUUUUACUUAAAAAAAAAAAAAAAAAAAAAAAAAAAAAAAAGAAUGGUGGACAAAAAUAAUUGUCCCAAACUAUUAGGGUUCCUACAUCUUUUGAACUAUAGGAAACCCAUGUAUGAAAUGGGGCAGUGAGGAAUUGCACUCAAAAACUAAGGAUGAACUAAGGCUCAGAUUGAAAUCUUCAGUAUUUUCCAUCUCCAUCAAAUUAAGCUUUCCACAGUCUCCAAUCACCAAAGUCUCUAAUGCAGAUAGAUUCCUUAUACCGCGAGGUAAGGAUGCUAGACUCCCGCAAGAAGUUAUAACCAAUGUUCGAAGCGAUGUCAGAGCCUGCAUAUCAUCAAACAAUUUUUCCAAAUUUCCACAUUGAAACAAAGACAGAUAUCUUAGAGAACUGAGACAUCCUAUACCGUUUUCUGGGAAGGAAGUCUGUUUUGUAGGUAUCUCCAAAAACCUGAGGCGAGUCGUGUGCUUGAUAUCUCUAGGAAUUUCUUCAAGCUUCUCACAUUCUUCAAGUCUUAAGGUCUGCAAAUUCUGCAGCCUGCAAAUGGAAUUAGGGAGUUUUCGAAGCUUCCGAUUCCUAUAAAGGUCAAGGUAUCUCAAAUUCUUCAAGGUACCAAUUGAAUUUGGCAAUGUCUCAAAGCAUGAAUCGCUAAGAUUAAGCACUCGUAAGUGCUUGAAUCGUGACAUGCAGGUGUCAAUAAAUGUUCCGCUAGUAGGCCCCAUCCCCCUAACUGGGAAAAAUAUAGUUCUUACCUUCUCUAACUUGUGUAAGAACUUAGGAACUUGUUGACUUGGCAAAUUACUGCCUGAAAAGGAUAAAUGACGGACCUUUUCAUCAACAGAUGGGGUGAGAAAGUUUACAGUUGAGCACUCACUUUGCGCAACUGAUAUAGCUAGAUCAUGUACAAGAUCAUGCAUUUUGCAGGUAAAAAAGAAACCAUGAUCCUCAAUAUCUUGGAGAAAAGAUCUCGACCAUAGUUCUUUCACAAAACGCAACCCAUUCUCUUUCAAUUCUUCAUCUUCAUCAGGCGAUUCAAGAAGUCCAUAAGCCAUCCAAAAUCGAAUCAAUUCAAAACUGUACAACACAUAAUUUUUGGGAAAGAGGGAACAAUAAGCAAAACAUCGUUUCAAGUAAGAUGGCAUGUGAUCAUAGCUCAACUUCAGCACCGGUAGGAUGUCAUUUUUUUGAUGUUGUAAUUUCCAUAUCUCAUUGUCUCUGAUGGACACCCAGGUUUUUUCUUCGGUUGAUGAAUAAAGUAGACUUCCUAAAGUUCUCACUGCUAAAGGAACCCCUCCACAUUUCCUUACAAUCUCAUUCCCAGUAUCUAUGAGAUUCGGAUAUUGCUUCUCUUGUCCUGGAUUAAAUUCCCAUUUCAAAAACAAAGACAAACAAUCCUUAUGGGAAAGACCAGGCAAAUUGUAUGCAAAAUCAUUGCCUACAACAGAAGCAACUUUUGAACUCCUUGUAGUUACAAUAAUUUUACUUCCCAAAGCACAACCCUCCAACAAACCUCUCAAUUCAACCCAUUUAACCAGAUUUUCAUUCCAAACAUCAUCUAAAACAAGCAAAAACUUUCUACCCCCUAAACUCCUCCGCAAUCGUGCUUGCAAUUGAUCCAUUGUCAGGUCACCAUAACUCCUACCAGUAGCAGAACUAGUAAUCUCCUUAGCCAACGUAGUAACAUCAAAUUCCUGAGACACACAAACCCACAUCUUCAAUUGAAAAUUCUUCUCCACCCUUUCAUCAUUAUACACCAUUUUAGCUAAUGUCGUCUUACCUUGGCCACCAGUUCCAAUUAUAGGAACAACUGAAAGAUUUUCUUCCUUACUAUAAUGCAACAAAAAGUCGAUAAUUUUAUCUCUAUCAAAAUCUCUCCCAAUAACAUCUGAAGCUUGAACAAAGGAGUGAGUCAUCUCUCUCCUCCUAUAUUCAACUUUCUCAUCUACAAAUCUUUCUUUUAAAUGAAACUUAUUCUUCAAAGCAGCAAUUUCAUCAAAUCUUUCUCUAAUAUCUUUCAUUUUAUGCCCAAUCUUUAAAUGGAACACAAGUUUGUUAUUAGUCUUCAUAGACAAAAUCAUCAAUAAUAUCCUCCGCAUCAAAACAAGCUUCUUUAAGUUUGGAUAACCAAACAGUAAGCUCACUGUUUUCCUUUCCCUGUUGCUCCUCUGCAUCCAAGAGCACAGCUUUAAUGGUGGACAAGGUGUCUUGGAGCUUCUUUAAGUCUUCGUUGACAUUCCAUGCUAAGCUAAUCUCGUCAACAACUUUAGAUGUUAACUUGUGAAGAACAGUUUCAGCUAUGUUGAAGAGAAAAGAUUCUGCCAUUUUCUUUUCUUUUUUUUUUUUUUUUUUUUUUGUUAAACAGCAAAAGGAAAAAGAAAGCAGUGGUCGCUAAUUGGGUUUGCUAUGGUGGCGGAGGUGAAAUGAAAAGCAGACUUGCAGAGCAGAAAUGAUCAAUCGGUGAAAUCAAGUUGGCAUAUUUUGAGAAGUCUAUAAUCAAGUAAUCAUUAUCGAGCAAAUUAUUGAUAACUAAGUAUAAAAAGAUUCUUUCUUCAUAAACUACAAUUGACUUAUCUUUUUAAGUUUAAAGUCUUUUCCUUCCUUUACUUUUGUCUCCUGCCAAUAAGUUUCUUGCAGGUAGCCACUGAAAUGGGUGGAAAGAUCGCGUUCACGGGUCGGGCUGGGCUUGCAUGACAUUCAAGGCUGCAUUUGCUUGUUAAAUUGCUAAUUUAGGCCGAUCUAAAUAUAGCAAAAUUCUCUAACCAGCCUAGCACAUUACCUACCAGAGCAAAAUUCUCAGAAAUUUCUUACUGAGGGGUCUUCACCUAAUACUAACUUCAGAAUGGAGUGUAUACUUACUCUAAUGAUCUGAAAGGUUAAUAGUUUGAGUCCUAAUGAUUGGUAUAUCUACACUUGCCAUCUUCAGUCGUGGUUAUGGAACCAAUCUUUCAUUUCUAAUCUCAAUGAAAUAACCAUUAUUCUUUGUCAAGGCUCCAUUGCAAUAACUCAACAUCAAUAGGAACUAAACGCAGCAGCUUCCAUGCGUUGUUCAACAUAAAUAACAAAACUAGAACACCAAAUGGUUAAAAUCAAUCCAUAAUCGACGGGUGCGGUCAUGAGAAAAAUAUAAUGAAUGAAUUGAAAUGAAGUGAGAAUUAGGGAAGGCGGAGUAAUAUCAUAAAACUGAAGCUGGGUACAAUACAAGAUAAUAAAAAUCUUAGCUAGAAAAUAAAUAAUAAGCACAUAAUCCUACAAAAUUAACAAUGACAAAAAAUUGCUCAGAUAAGAAUAAGGGUAAAAAGUAACCUUGCAAAAUUGGUUGGCUUAAUUAGUUUAAGCCAUCUGUUUAAGUAUGUCUAAGUUUCUUAUGUAUCAUAGAGAUGGUGCAAUACGUCCAUAGACUGCUUGGAAAGUCUGUCCCCCAUUCCUAGCCACCUUUUGUCCUUCUUCAGUUGCUGUGCUUUGGAGCUCUACAACAGGAUCUACUCCAAGCUCCUCCUCUGUGAGGGCUUCAAACAUAGGGUGAUUCUCCAAACAAGCCUUCAUCCACUCACCCAAUUCUUCCACAUCAGUAAUUGCAUAAAUAAUCCCGCCAAUCUCAAGAACAUAGGCAUACUCAUCUAGCAAAUGUGGACUAAUAACCCUUCGACGAUGAUUCUUCUCCUUUAAGUGGGGAUCCGGAAACAGGAAAAACAUCUUCGUAAGCUGUCCUUUCCCAAAGUAAUUUGGUAUGUAUUUCAUAGAAUUGGUUCGAACCAUUGAGGCAUUUUGAUAUUGACCUGGAUUAGCUAUCCUUAAUGCAGAAAUUCGUUCCUUGACAUAUUCUGUCACUUUAUCCCUAAGUUCCAUACCAAUCAUUAGGGUUUCAGGAAAAAGGGUUGAGACUAAUAAGUAGCCCUCCAAAACCACAACCAACAUCCGCAAACUGAAUCUUUUUGGAACUAUCCACUUGAUCAGAUGAAGGGAAAAAUUGAGGGUAAUGAACUGAAUAUUCAACAUGAGAAGGGGAAAUUGGAACAGGGAAGUGUGAGUCACUGAGUGGGUUGCUAUGUGCUCGUGCUCUGUAGAAGCGUUUCCUUGGCAGGCCAGUUGACUUGCUGAGAGUUGGGUUUACCUCAUUUUCUAGCAUGUUUUUCUCCGUAAGCUACAUAAAAAGGAUCAAUAAGAAUUAGACAGUAAAAGUAUUAAAAGAUAAGAAAGAAAGAAGAAUAUGGAGAACAAAGAGUAGAAGACUGCUAGAUAUAUUCAAGAAUCUAACAAAUAAAUAAUUAGUAAAGGUACCCUACAAUGGCUCAAUAAAAUUAAAAGCAGACAUACACAAAUAAUCAAGAUAAAAACAGAGGAUAACCCCACUGUCUGCUAUGAUCUAAAACUACUUAAAACCGUCAAGAUAGAAAUAGAAAUUCAAUGAUCAAUAAUUAAUAACAGAACCAACACCAAAGAACAGUCAACAUUAGAAUAGACAAAUAUGAAACAGUAAUUCUCGAGUAUAUCAGCGAAUGAAUGUAAAACAUAGAAAAGAAUGAGACAGGCAGAGAGACAGCACUCUCAAAUAAACUACAGCUUUAAAGAAGAUUUCAAAACCAUUGAUAUGACUUUCGGGAUUUGACAAAUACACCUCUUCACAGGUUCAGAAUGUCUCUAGUUAGCUAAUUCUGAUACCCAUAGUUAUUGAUCAAGUAGUAAGCAGUCACAAGGCAGAACCAUUAAACUUACACUGAAUCAAUCAGAAAUAAAUCAUUCUACUUCUGCUAAAUCUCCCAUUAGUUCCAAAGAACACCUUGCUUCAUUUAAAGAGAUGCAUAAGGUUAUGAUUAAAGAUUAGACCUGUACUCUCAAUAUGCAAGGCGAAUUUCUACAAUGUUGCUGUCCCAAAUUUGCAAGCUCAACAAUGACACAUCAAUAUACAAGUCCAUUCGCAUUCACGCAUUGGCAUAUCAUAGUAGAUGUAGUCGAUAACUGAACUAAUUAACAAGAAUCCGAAUCCAAUAUACACCAAAGUCUUUAACUUUUUAGUUAACGAACUCAGACCAUAAAUCAUCUUUGGCACAGUAAUCCAAAUAUGAGGAUCAAAACUUAGGUCAAAAUAUCUAUCAAAAUCACAUGAAAGAUUUUUUUUUUUUUUUCUGUAAGGCUAAGUAGUAGUUGUGGUUGUAUUGACAAACAGCAAGAAACAAAAUUCAAAAUUCAAUAACAUUUCAAAACCAACAAUAAAAUUACUCUAAGAUAACAAAAUUCAGCAUUCAGCAACGAAAGGGAAUGUACUGUAACAGAGGGAGUACCUUUUUAUGCAGAACUCAAAACGCUUUUACUUGUACUAGGCUUGGGGCAAAGAAAUAGGUAGAGGCGGUUGCGCUAUUAGGGAAGAGAUUGGAGAAUUUGGGAAUUAGGGGUUUCUUUUCCCCGGGCCAGUUACAAGAAGAGGCGGUUGCGCUAUUAGCCGUGGGGUGGCUAUAAUUGCAAUUUGCAGGGCUUUAGUUGGUAGAUUAACUAACAUAAGCUUAUCAAAUCUUGAGGGUUUUAUUGUUGUUAUUUUUUUUUUAGGAAUAAAGUUAAAAAUGAUUAAAAAGAUCAAAUUUAAUAUUUUGAGUCAAUUAAAAUAAUCAAAAAAUCAGAUUAACAUUUUAGAUCAAUUUAGCUGUUGAUUCUUCAAUGUUUUUUUAGGCAUCUAAGACUAUAAUUA